AUUGAACGCUGGCGGCAGGCCUAACACAUGCAAGUCGAGCGGUAACAGAUCCAGCUUGUUGGAUGCUGACGAGCGGCGGACGGGUGAGUAAUGCAUAGGAAUCUGCCCGAUAGUGGGGGAUAACCUGGGGGAAACCCAGGCUAAUACCGCAUACGUCCUACGGGAGAAAGGGGGCUCCGGCUCCCGUUAUGGGAUGAGCCUAUGUCGGAUUAGCUAGUUGGUGAGGUAACGGCUCACCAAGGCCACGAUCCGUAGCUGGUCUGAGAGGAUGAUCAGCCACAUCGGGACUGAGACACGGCCCGA
rnacentral:rRNA from 1 species